GAAGAUCAGCAGCACACCAAAACAAUUCAGCAAUGGUGGCCGUGACAAAGUUGCAGCUCAUUUCAGUGCUGAGGAAAAGAAAACAAUUGUACUGGAGGGGGCAUGCAACUCAGCCCUUCUUACCUGCACAGAUGAUGGCCCUACAGCACAAUGAAACCUGGCUCAUAAUGGAGGGCAUAGCUGCAGGUGGCUCCACUGAACUGGUGGAUAACUGCAGGAUAACUGCAGCAGCUCUCAUAAACAGGGGGGCUGACCCACAUGAUGACCCACAGGAACCAGCUGGUGAUCACUCAUACUAGUAUCAUUGUAGUAUUGAGGAUUAAGUCAACGCUAAAACACCGCUGACCACAAUACUGUCUUUCAUAAGGAAAUGGAGGAAGAUGAGUACUGUGAUAACAGUGCCCUGAAAUUCAUAUCACACCAUGAGAUUAACAGGCAUUAAAAAUAAAAAAAGGUAGGGGGGUAACCAACUGGCUUUAGGUAUAAACUUAAAAGGACCAGUGUCUAAAAUUUAAUAUUUUGCUGUCAUACGUUUGAUAACUUUAAUUAUUAUUCUUUUUUAAAAUUUCUCGAUCAUAAAAGAUGAGCUAGUGUUUCUUCUUCAACAGCCAGGCCAUCAAACAAAUUGAGUCAUUGUAAAGGUAAUUAUUGAUUAAAUCACUAAUUUAUUGACUACUUUCAUUUAAAAAUUUUUUCCUAAUAACCACAAUAUUUGGGCUAAAUCAUAAUAAAGGAAUGGCACAGAUUUAAAAAUCGUCUAAUCCUGCAUCUUACUACCAUUGUCCUAAUUCUUUCAAGACAUUCUGCUCCUCUCUUAUAAUAAAUGCUAUUGUACAUCAGACAGCCUCUCUCUCUAGUCCAUAUAAACAAUUAGGGUCUCUCUGGAUACUUAGUGGAGAUAGUCAGUCAUUAGCUAGGUUUGCUCUGUACAGCUGAGGGAAAAUGAGAUGGCAAGUUGACCCUAACAAGAAAAAAUGUUUCGUCAAAAAAGCAGCAAUAUAAUUCACAGUUCAUCCAGUUACUUUUAUUCACGCUUGUAAUUGAUGUGAUUCAUCUCAGUGAGUAGAAACAGCUGGGCAGUAAUAAAACAUGACGCCUGCUGCUAAAA